UACGUAGGGGGCAAGCGUUGUCCGGAUUUAUUGGGCGUAAAGAGCUCGUAGGCGGCUCAGUAAGUCGGGUGUGAAACCUCCAGGCUCAACCUGGAGACGCCACUCGAUACUGCUGUGGCUUGAGUCCGGUAGGGGAGCACGGAAUUCCUGGUGUAGCGGUGAAAUGCGCAGAUAUCAGGAGGAACGCCAGUGGCGAAGGCGGUGCUCUGGGCCGGAACUGACGCUGAGGAGCGAAAGCGUGGGGAGCAAACAGG
rnacentral:rRNA from 1 species